rnacentral:rRNA from 1 species
ACAGGGAUUGCCCCAGUAACGGCGAGUGAAGCGGCAACAGCUCAAAUUUGAAAUCUGGCCCCUCCGGGCCCGAGUUGUAGUUUGCAGAGGAUGCUUUUGGCGAGGCGCCGCCCGAGUUCCCUGGAACGGGACGCCACAGAGGGUGAGAGCCCCGUCUGGCUGGCCGCCGAGCCUCUGUAAAGCUCCUUCGACGAGUCGAGUAGUUUGGGAAUGCUGCUCAAAAUGGGAGGUAUAUGUCUUCUAAAGCUAAAUACUGGCCAGAGACCGAUAGCGCACAAGUAGAGUGAUCGAAAGAUGAAAAGCACCUUGAAAAGAGGGUUAAACAGUACGUGAAAUUGUUGAAAGGGAAGCGCUCGCGACCAGACUUGGCCGCGGCGGAUCAUCCGGGGUUCUCCCCGGUGCACUUCGCCGCGUCCAGGCCAGCAUCAGUUCGCCGCGGGGGACAAAGGCGUCGGGAACGUGGCUCCCCCGGGAGUGUUAUAGCCCGUCGCGCAAUACCCUGCGGUGGACUGAGGACCGCGCAUCUGCAAGGAUGCUGGCGUAAUGGUCACCAGCGACCCGUCUUGAAACACGGACCAAGGAGUCGUCUUCGUAUGCGAGUGUUCGGGUGUCAAACCCCUACGCGGAAUGAAAGUGAACGCAGGUGAGAGCUUCGGCGCAUCAUCGACCGAUCCUGAUGUUCUCGGAUGGAUUUGAGUAGGAGCAUACGGGGCCGGACCCGAAAGAAGGUGAACUAUGCCUGUAUAGGGUGAAGCCAGAGGAAACUCUGGUGGAGGCUCGCAGCGGUUCUGACGUGCAAAUCGAUCGUCAAAUAUGGGCAUGGGGGCGAAAGACUAAUCGAACCUUCUAGUAGCUGGUUUCCGCCGAAGUUUCCCUCAGGAUAGCAGUGUUGAGCUCAGUUUUAUGAGGUAAAGCGAAUGAUUAGGGACCCGGGGGCGCUAUAUUGCCUUCAUCCAUUCUCAAACUUUAAAUAUGUAAGAAGCCCUUGUUGCUUAGCUGAACGUGGGCAUUCGAAUGUAUCAACACUAGUGGGCCAUUUUUGGUAAGCAGAACUGGCGAUGCGGGAUGAACCGAACGCGAGGUUAAGGUGCCAGAGUAGACGCUCAUCAGACACCACAAAAGGCGUUAGUACAUCUUGACAGCAGGACGGUGGCCAUGGAAGUCGGAAUCCGCUAAGGACUGUGUAACAACUCACCUGCCGAAUGUACUAGCCCUGAAAAUGGAUGGCGCUCAAGCGUCUCACCCAUACCUCGCCCUCGGGGUAGAAAGCGAUGCCCCGAGGAGUAGGCGGACGUGGAGGUCAGUACGAAGCCUAGGGCGCAG